CCCCUUUCGAGAUGUGUCUGUUUUAACAGGAUCUAUGCACAGCCACUGUAGUAACUUCAGAGUAAGCUGCUUAUUUAAACACUGCCUCCAAAAGCUCAUUCAAAUGGCGACCAGAACUGUAAACAGUACACCAGAGGAGGCCUCCCAAUGCCGUCUACCUCUACACAAUGUCCUGACUCCUAUACUCAAAAGGUCUGAACAAUGAAGACAAAACAGGCUUCAACUCUCAACUGAAAGACAAUGGUUCUGACAAUGAAGAACACCCUCAAUGCUACACAGCCUUAAUUGCAACAGCAGGUCUGGAAGCGGGACUUGAACUUUCUCACUCAGAGGUGAGAGGGCUACACCUCAAAUUCUGCAGCAUUUAGAUCAGGUUUCACUCAAACAAUUUUUAAGCCUUUCAAAUUACUGUAAGCAACGAACUAUUUGAUCACAUAGCAAUAGCUCACUGCAGAAAGGUUUUGGUUCCUCUCUUCCACGUUGUCUGCUGGGUC